UACGUAGGGGGCAAGCGUUGUCCGGAUUUAUUGGGCGUAAAGAGCGUGUAGGCGGCUGGGUAGGUCCGUUGUGAAAACUCGAGCUCAACCUCGAGACGCCGAUGGAAACCCUCCAGCUAGAGUCCGGAAGAGGAGAGUGGAAUUCCUGGUGUAGCGGUGAAAUGCGCAGAUAUCAGGAAGAACACCCGUGGCUAAGGCGGCUCUCUAGUACGGUACUGACGCUGAGACGCGAAAGCGUGGGGAGCGAACCGG
rnacentral:rRNA from 1 species